UCAUGUAUUCAAUCCAAUGAAUGCUAUGGGAUUGGCAGAUGUGAAAAUUAAGUCAUUGUACUAUAGCGAUAUCUUCGUAAUGGCGAAUUUGAAUCUCAAAGAAUCAUCGUGGAGGGUUUGGAAGAAAAUUUUAUUCCAACGCGACGUGAAUCACAGAAUUAUGUUUGGGAUAAUCAAAGAAAAACAUCAACUUUAUUCCUAGCGGAUGUCAACGGAACAAGGUCGGAAAGAACAAACCAACCAGAAGAAUUCAGAGCUAAUAGAAUCGGUUAUCCAAUAUAAUCCAAUGUAACAUCGCUUAUUCACACAAAUGCCAAUAAUGUAUCAAAUAAACAGAUUUUUCAAAAUUAUAA